rnacentral:rRNA from 1 species
AUUGAACGCUGGCGGCAGGCCUAACACAUGCAAGUCGAGCGGUAGCACAGAGAGCUUGCUCUCGGGUGACGAGCGGCGGACGGGUGAGUAAUGUCUGGGAAACUGCCUGAUGGAGGGGGAUAACUACUGGAAACGGUAGCUAAUACCGCAUAACGUCGCAAGACCAAAGAGGGGGACCGUCGGGCCUCUUGCCAUCAGAUGUGCCCAGAUGGGAUUAGCUAGUAGGGGGGUAAUGGCUCACCUAGGCGACGAUCCCUAGCUGGUCUGAGAGGAUGACCAGCCACACUGGAACUGAGACACGGUCCAGACUCCUACGGGAGGCAGCAGUGGGGAAUAUUGCACAAUGGGCGCAAGCCUGAUGCAGCCAUGCCGCGUGUGUGAAGAAGGCCUUCGGGUUGUAAAGCACUUUCAGCGAGGAGGAAGGCGGUGAGGUUAAUAACCUCAUCGAUUGACGUUACUCGCAGAAGAAGCACCGGCUAACUCCGUGCCAGCCGCCGCUGUAA